GGCGGACGGGUGAGUAACACGUGGGCAACCUGCCUCAUAGAGGGGAAUAGCCUUUCGAAAGGAAGAUUAAUACCCCAUAAGAUUGUAGAUUCGCAUGAAUUAGCAAUUAAAGGAGCAAUCCGCUAUGAGAUGGGCCCGCGUCGCAUUAGCUAGUUGGUAAGGUAAAGGCUUACCAAGGCGACGAUGCGUAGCCGACCUGAGAGGGUGAUCGGCCACAUUGGGACUGAGACACGGCCCAGACUCCUACGGGAGGCAGCAGUGGGGAAUAUUGCACAAUGGGGGAAACCCUGAUGCAGCAACGCCGCGUGAGUGAUGACGGUUUUCGGAUUGUAAAGCUCUGUCUUCAGGGACGAUAAUGACGGUACCUGAGGAGGAAGCCACGGCUAACUACGUGCCAGCAGCCGCGGUAAUACGUAGGUGGCGAGCGUUGUCCGGAUUUACUGGGCGUAAAGGGAGCGUAGGCGGAUCUUUAAGUGGGAUGUGAAAUACUCGGGCUCAACCUGGGGGCUGCAUUCCAAACUGGAGAUCUAGAGUGCA
rnacentral:rRNA from 1 species